AUACGGAGGGUGCAAGCGUUAAUCGGAAUUACUGGGCGUAAAGCGUACGUAGGCGGUUAUUUAAGUCAGAUGUGAAAGCCCCGGGCUUAACUUGGGAACUGCAUUUGAAACUGGGUAACUAGAGUUUAGUAGAGGGGAGUGGAAUUUCAGGUGUAGCGGUGAAAUGCGUAGAGAUCUGAAGGAACACCAGUGGCGAAGGCGACUCCCUGGACUAAAACUGACGCUGAGGUACGAAAGCGUGGGUAGCAAACAGGAUUAGAUACCCGUGUAGUCC
rnacentral:rRNA from 1 species